AACAAGAUCCCAGCUUUCCGGAAAGACCCCUUCCCACCCCGAGGGGCAUGGGGCUCCUUCCAGCCCCACCCUCUGUCCUAAGGCCAAGACCGUCGUCACUCCUAGUCACCCUUCGAAGGUCCCCGAGGAUCUGAGGUUCCAAUUUCGUGCAAGGACUACAAAGCUCACCCUUCUCUUCACGGCCGAGUGUCGCAGGAUCUGGUGUUUCCUGCCUGAGUGUCUCCAAGUCUCCUCUCCGGGACCUCCAUGCAGCACGCUGCGUCCCUACACUUCAGGGCCAAAGGCCUCAUCUCUACCACCUCAGUGUCACUCUGUGGCCUCUUCUCUACCAGAGAACGCGGAGAUUGUCUAUCCCCUACCUGAAGGCCAGGAGCUGCAUCUCUCCUGUGGGAGGGCACUGAGGCUUCCUCAGCCACACUGACGUGCCAGGAAUUCUCAUGCCCCCACCUGGCUGCUGGAAGUCGUCUGCCCCUUACGUGAGUAUAGUCUCCCUCCCUGCCUAAGAGUCAUGAGCUUUUAGCUUCUCUACCUGAACAUCACAAGGUCUCCUUUACUCGGGAAAUGUCUGACAAUCUCAUCCCAGCUCCCUGAUUGUCUGAAGGUUUCUAUCUCCUUCCUGGGGAUCUUGAGGUCUUAUCUCCCUACUUGAGGAUCGCGAAAUCUUCCCUCUCCCAUCUGAGUGUAAGGAGGUCUCCGUGCCCUCCCUGAGUGUUCCUGCUUUGUCUCCUCCCCCUGAGCGUCGGGAGAUGCUCUCACCUCUUCUGCUAGAUCUGGAGUUUCCAUCUCUGGUCUCUUAGGGACAAGGUGUCUUCUCUUCCCACCCUGCAGGCCAGGUGUUUGCAGUUCUUCAACUCCAUUGUCAGGCCUUUUAUUUCCUCUCCAUGACACUCCAUGAGUGUCCCCAUGUCUCCUCUAGGCCAGAAGAUCUUGCCUCGCCUGUUAUGGGGUGCCGGGUGCCGGGUGCCGACAGUGCUGAUUCCACUCAGUCCAUGUUUGCUCAGUGACCUCUCUCUCGGGGCUGUGUGUUCCAGGCCCUGUGGAGACUGACAUAAUCCUUAGAAAUGCCUGCAGAGGCCAGGAUGAGGGGAGGCUUGUUUGGGCCUUCCAGGAAUCUCUCAGAGAUGGCCUCGUCUUUCCCGCUGAGGCUGGGUGGCGGCACGAGAUCUAAUUACAGUAGCUGUCAGUUAGGGGCAUGCAUGUCCUCUGGGCUGCAAGUGAGCCCUUGGCUCUCACUGCAGUGUCCUUCUACGAGUCCUGUUGCUCUGUGAAAUCUGUGGGCUAAGGUCUGGAGAGUAACCCUGCGGCCGCUGCAGACCUUCCUCCAUCGGGACACCUGCCAGGGAGUCACCUGAACAAAAUUGUUCCGACAGCGUGGAGUGGCCUGCUGGGACUUCCAGUCUCCAAGGGCCUUCUCUGUUUGGGGAACCCCUUCCUGUCCCUCCUCCGCCUUCUAACACGGGGCCAGGACAUCUUCUCUUUGUUUGGUAGGGAGAGGCAAGGCCGGGGGGGUUAUGAGUUUUGGUAUUCCUGCCAAGCAGCAAGCUGGGUUUCACCUACAUG